AGGUUAUGGCUUACCAAGGCGACGACGGGUAGCCGGCCUGAGAGGGUGUCCGGCCACACUGGGACUGAGAUACGGCCCAGACUCCUACGGGAGGCAGCAGUGGGGAAUAUUGCACAAUGGGCGCAAGCCUGAUGCAGCGACGCCGCGUGAGGGAUGAAGGCCUUCGGGUUGUAAACCUCUUUCAGCAGGGACGAAGCGUGAGUGACGGUACCUGCAGAAGAAGCACCGGCUAACUACGUGCCAGCAGCCGCGGUAAUACGUAGGGUGCGAGCGUUGUCCGGAAUUACUGGGCGUAAAGAGUUCGUAGGCGGUUUGUCGCGUCGUUUGUGAAAACCCGGGGCUCAACUUCGGGCUUGCAGGCGAUACGGGCAGACUUGAGUGUUUCAGGGGAGACUGGAAUUCCUGGUGUAGCGGUGAAAUGCGCAGAUAUCAGGAGGAACACCGGUGGCGAAGGCGGGUCUCUGGGAAACAACUGACGCUGAGGAACGAAAGCGUGGGUAGCAAACAGGAUUAGAUACCCUGGUAGUCCACGCCGUAAACGGUGGGCGCUAGG
rnacentral:rRNA from 1 species